AUUCCUCUGCAGCUCUCCUUCCAGGCAGGUAUCGUCCCCUCUGCCUAUUCCUCUGCAGCUCUCCUUCCAGGCAGGUAUCGUCCCCUCUGCCUAUUCCUCUGCAGCUUUCCUUCCAGGCAGGUAUCGUCCCCUCUGCCUAUUCCUCUGCAGCUCUCCUUCCAGGCAGGUAUCGUCCCCUCUGCCUAUUCCUCUGCAGCUCUCCUUCCAGGCAGGUAUCGUCCCCACUGCCUAUUCCUCUGCAGCUCUCCUUCCAGGCAGGUAUCGUCCCCUCUGUCUAUUCCUCUGCAGCCUUCCUUCCAGGCAGGUAUUGUCCCCUCUGCCUAUACCUCUGCAGCUCUCCUUCCAGGCAGGUAUCGUCCUCUCUGUCUAUUCCUCUGCAGCUCUCCUUCCAGGCAGGUAUUGUCCCCUCUGCCUAUUCCUCUGCAGCUCUCCUUCCAGGCAGGUAUCGUCCCCU